rnacentral:misc_RNA from 1 species
ACGGCAUAUCAACAACACAUAUCGAAUCGUACUUCAAUGAUUUUAUAGACAUAUACUUUGUUAUAUCUAACAUAUAUAUCAGAAUAUAUAUAUAUUUUCAACACAUAAGAAUGACAUAUUGUCUGUUAUAACAGAGGUAGUAUUUUAUAGAUAAUUUUAAGAAUAAAUGAGCUUAUUAAGUAUAAGAGAAGAUAAGACAUCAAGAAACAUGGCGUUUAUUAGUUUGAGAAGUAGCUUAAGGAUAGUGUGGACGGUUGCGGCGAUGCUGGUCUUCCUCACGAGGAGUGGUGCAGCACCAGCUUAUGGUGAAACCAACAGGGCAAUGCCUGAUUAUGACGUGAACUUCCAGAUGUACCUGGCCCAAUAUGGCUACCUCAGUCCGUCUGUACGGAACCCUUCCAGCGGUCACAUAAUGGAUGAAAGCACGUGGAAAAAAGCCAUCCAAGAGUUCCAGAGCUUCGCCGGAUUAAAUAGUACAGGUGAACUGGACGAGGAAACAGUGAAGCUGAUGUCAUUGCCAAGGUGUGGAGUCAAAGAUAAAGUAGGCUUCGGUGAAAGCCGAGCAAAACGAUAUGCGCUACAGGGCUCAAGGUGGCGUGUAAAGAACCUCACAUACAAGAUCUCCAAGUAUCCGUCCAGACUGAACCACGCGGAGGUCGACGCCGAACUGGCUAAGGCGUUUGCCGUGUGGUCGGAUUUCACAGACCUCACUUUUACUCAGAAGCGAUCUGGACAAGUUCACAUUGAAAUUAGGUUUGAAAAGGGCGAGCACGGCGACGGCGAUCCCUUCGACGGUCCCGGCGGCACCCUCGCACACGCGUACUUCCCCGUUUACGGUGGUGACGCUCACUUUGACGAUGCUGAGAUGUGGUCCAUUAACUCCAGAAGAGGAACUAAUCUUUUCCAAGUGGCAGCGCACGAAUUUGGUCAUUCUCUAGGCCUUUCACACAGCGACGUCCGGUCAGCGUUGAUGGCACCCUUCUAUAGAGGCUACGACCCCGCCUUCCAACUAGACCAGGAUGAUAUAAUGGGAAUACAGGCGCUGUACGGUCAUAAGACACAAGUGGAUAUCGGCGGAGGACUGCCAAACCCCACCGUGCCACGGGUCACCACACCACAACCCUCGGCCGAAGAUCAGGAGCUCUGUUCUGACUCUAAAUUCGAUACCAUAUUUAACUCUGCCGACGGUUCUACUUUUGUUUUCAAAGGCGAUAAUUACUGGAAAUUGACUGAGAAUGGCGUAGCGGCGGGCUAUCCCCGACCUAUCUCCCGCUCAUGGCCCGGCCUGCCUGGUAACAUCGAUGCUGCUUUCACAUAUAAGAACGGAAAGACGUACUUCUUCAAGGGCUCCAAAUACUGGCGAUAUAAUGGACAGAAGAUGGAUGGAGACUAUCCCAAGGAAAUUAGUGAAGGUUUCACUGGCAUUCCAGACAAUAUCGAUUCUGCGUUAGUGUGGUCUGGCAAUGGCAAGAUCUACUUCUACAAAGGAUCCAAGUUCUGGAGGUUCGACCCCGCUCAACGUCCCCCCGUCAAGUCGACGUAUCCCAAGCCGUUGUCCAACUGGGCCGGAAUACCCGACAAUAUCGACGCAGCGUUACAGUACACUAAUGGUUACACAUAUUUCUUCAAGGGUGGAUCAUACUGGCGGUUUAAUGAUAGAACUUUCAGUGUGGACACCGACAACCCAGCAUUCCCAAGAUCCACUGGUUACUGGUGGUUGGGUUGUAGUAGUGCGCCGCGUGGUACCGUCGGAGGUAAUGCGCGUCUUUCUGCCCCCUCAGACGAACACCACGACGAUGAUGACGACGUGGGCGAUAUUAUAUUUGAUGCAGUGGUGAGCCUUCAGUCAGACGGAGCUAGACUGUAGUAUGUACUCGGAGCUCAGAUAUAUUAGGAGGGCACGAAACGUCCUCCGCCGCGGCAUCAUUCAUCCGCAUCAUGCGGACCACGCGCCGGGCGGCAACAGUGCGGCCAGCUCUCGGCUGCCGCUCGCUCUCCUGGUGGCCUCCGUCAGCUCUCUGUUGGUGUUAAGGACACUCCCGCGCGCCUAGCGCCGGCCACCGCGUCUCCUCUGUGAUUGUGUUGUGUGCCUGACCGCGUUCGGUAUAUUGUGUAUAGCGAACGCCAUGUUGUGAUGUAUGAUCUUUUAUACUGUUGCGAGAACGAUAAUUUAAUUCGAAGUCAUAGUUUUUAUACUUAAUAUUAUAAAUAGAUGAUGUAAGUUCGAGUGUGAUAUUGACGUAAGCGACGAUUUUUGUAUUAAAAAUAUUUGAAGAUA